rnacentral:rRNA from 1 species
CCUACGGGUGGCAGCAGUGGGGAAUAUUGCACAAUGGGCGCAAGCCUGAUGCAGCCAUGCCGCGUGUGUGAAGAAGGCCUUCGGGUUGUAAAGCACUUUCAGCGGGGAGGAAGGCGUUAAGGUUAAUAACCUUGGCGAUUGACGUUACCCGCAGAAGAAGCACCGGCUAACUCCGUGCCAGCAGCCGCGGUAAUACGGAGGGUGCAAGCGUUAAUCGGAAUUACUGGGCGUAAAGCGCACGCAGGCGGUCUGUCAGGUCGGAUGUGAAAUCCCCGGGCUCAACCUGGGAACUGCAUUCGAAACUGGCAGGCUAGAGUCUUGUAGAGGGGGGUAGAAUUCCAGGUGUAGCGGUGAAAUGCGUAGAGAGCUGGAGGAAUACCGGUGGCGAAGGCGGCCCCCUGGACAAAGACUGACGCUCAGGUGCGAAAGCGUGGGGAGCAAACAGGAUUAGAUACCCGAGUAGUC